GAUGAACGCUAGCUACAGGCUUUAACACAUGCAAGUCGAGGGGAAACGAUAUUGGAAGCUUGCUUCCGAUAGGCGUCGACCGGCGCACGGGUGAGUAACGCGUAUCCAACCUGCCCAUCACUUGGGGAUAACCUUGCGAAAGAAAGAUUAAUACCCGAUGGCAUAGUUCUUCCGCAUGGUAGAACUAUUAAAGAAUUUCGGUCAUCGAUGGGGAUGCGUUCCAUUAGGUUGUUGGCGGGGUAACGGCCCACCAAGCCUUCGAUGGAUAGGGGUUCUGAGAGGAAGGUCCCCCACAUUGGAACUGAGACACGGUCCAAACUCCUACGGGAGGCAGCAGUGAGGAAUAUUGGUCAAUGGACGAGAGUCUGAACCAGCCAAGUAGCGUGCAGGAUGACGGCCCUAUGGGUUGUAAACUGCUUUUAUAAGGGAAUAAAGUGAGUCUCGUGAGGCUUUUUGCAUGUACCUUAUGAAUAAGGACCGGCUAAUUCCGUG
rnacentral:rRNA from 1 species